GCUCCUGUUUCAAAGGUAAGCCCCCCUUCCCACUUUCUUUUUCUUUGCUUUCCCCAAAAGUGGUAAGCAAAAAACAAACAAAAAAAACCAGCAUGCAGCAAGACAAAAGGUCUACUGAGGAAUUCAUAGGCACAAUGUUAAAUUACACAUACAGAGAGAAUAACUUCAAGACAUCCCCUUCCUUGAGGACAGCUGCUUGUAAAAAAUCAAUGGAAAAUGACCCAGAUCACACAUUUUUGUUUAAUGAAAGUCCUUGAUGAGUUAGAGGGUAACCUCUGCUGGUUAACAAAUCAAAAAGAUUGCCAAAACGGCACUUAGAUCAUGCUUUGGUUACCCACAGUGGGCUAGGAAAGAAAAUUACUAAUGAGACAGGAGGUAGGGCAGCCAGUGGGAGCAGCGGAGAGAAUAUUUUCCCUUUCAAGCUGCAGAAGCUGUCCGUCUCUGCUUCCUCCUGCAAAUGCACUGUUGUACUAAGAGAAGCAGCGGUGUCUGACAUGCUGGGAACUCUAACUGGGUGUCCGCACCUUUAUAUUCUUUUUUCAUUUUUACUUAUACCUUGUCCCUCCUUGGAGCACAGGGUUGGUUCUCCUCCAUUUUGUCUUCACAACAACCUUGUGAGGUACGUCAGCCUGAGAGAUCACAGGAGAGUCAGGUUUCCCUGGCUGAACUGGGAUUUGAUCUGGGUCUCCUGAGCCCUAAUGCAGUACUUGGACUUCCACUGGAUACUGAGACAUUCUUUCUCUGCUCCUAGGCUUCGGGCAGGAAGAUGAGGAUUGCCAGCUUCAGCUCCCAGAAUGAAUCCUGCCAACAUGGAUGGAUUCUGAGGCAAGGGCUUCUAGCGGCCUCAUUUUGCAUUAGGAAUUUUUACUAAAUUAAACAGAAUAUAGUUCAAAAAACACAUGCUCCCUUGUAUUUGAAGUCCCCCUUUCCUUUGUUUUGUAUCUUUUUAGACUAUAAGCUAGUAAGCAGGUAUUAUUGUUUUUUGGUUUUUCUUUUACUUGAUUAUAUGCAAGCCACUCUGGGUGACUUUUUGUCUGAGAAGCAUUAUAAAAAUACCUCAAAUAAAUAAAUCAGACUAAUGAGCUGUUUUAUCAUCUGCCAAAAUACAAAAAAUAUUGCACAUUGUACAUUGCAUUGUAAGCCCCCUAGGAAGGCCUCAGCAAUUAUAGGAGGCCUAAAAAUACGUGGCUAAAUAAAUAAAUAGUUAAAUGAAAUAUUAAUUUCUUAUUAAUGUGAUUCUUAUUAAUCGCAUCUAUAUCCUGUCCUUUUUCAUUCGUGUAAGGAAUCCAAGGAGGGUGGCAUAGCUCCAUUUUAUCCUCAUAGUAAGUAAGUCCUAAGGUCACCCAGUGCCGUGCGUAGUGGGAACUGCAGCCUGGAUCUCCUGCAUCCCUAGACCAACACUCAGACCUACUCACUGCCCUGCCUCUUACUGAAACUUAUUGUAGCACAGGCAGAUUUUUUCCACUUCCUAAACCUAUGCUGUGAUCAUAGAUGUGCAUAUGCAAAGCAUUUGCAUAUCAUUAAAACUUUAUUUUUUUCAUUCUAUAGCUCCGACCAAUUACAAUAUCACACAUGCAUGCACAUACGCAUAUAUCCUGAAAGACCCUCAGCAGAUAUCUCAUAAAUUUCCUUCACAGCAUGACCUAUAUGACAACUUGUCAAAAAGAAAGAAAUCCAGAAAUAUCUAGAUAAUUAUCUGCUUUAUCCACAGUACAUGUAAAUAAGGCCUAUCAAUAUACCAUAGAUGAUGAAUCACCAUCCAGGUUUAGACUUUUUUCCUAGUUUAAUUAAUGAAUGCAGCCAACCUUGGGCAUGUUUGCUUAGAGAAGUUCAUCUCUCUGUGCUCAACAACAUGAAUUCCAGGUAAGGGUGCACAGGAUUGCAGCCAUGGACAUGAUCCUCCACAUGUACUCAGAAGCAGGGCUCAGUGAGAUCAGUGGGAAUUACUCUCAUCUAAAUGAACAAAAUAUUAGAGCCUUGAUGUUUCUGUUAAGGCUCUAGGCUGGGCCGGGGCAACUUGUUGGCCACCGGAUGUUUGUGCUUCUAAUUCCUAUCAGCCCUAGGCAGCAUAACCUCUGACAUGGGGACAGUAGAAGCUGUAGGUUAAAAUAUUUGGUGGUCCUUAUGUUGUCCACCUCUGGUCUUAUAUAUAUAUGGAACCACACAGUUUCUUCCUUUCUGCAAGUAGUUCGAUACUAUUUUUCAGCAUGAAAUAAAAAAAUUCAAGAGGAGAAAGAAGAGAAGAGGAUUUAUCUAGUCUUAUGCUUGUGAAAGGAAAAAAAGGAGUUGAAAGUCUUUUCCUUUAAAGUAACUAAUAUGUUGAUAGCCUGGGAAUUUGAAUCAAUGGUCACCAAUCAAUAUUACACACACACACACACACACACACACACAGAGUGAGAGAGAGAGGGAGAGAGGGAGAGGCGGGGGGAGGGAGAGAGAGGUACAAUUUCCCUCCACUCUGCGUACUGUUGUCUGGAAAGCCAUGCAUGGGGCCUGGAAAUCAAUGUGCAAUGUUUGUGAACUUUUUGAACAGAAACUUGGACAGGCAGAGAAACAAAUUUUAUGUAAGGUUCUUUUUAAACAGGAAGAUAUGAAUCAAUCAGAUAUUAUUCUUUAGAAACCCUUCAGUAACUAUAAUGUUGUAAAUGAAUGGACAUCUCAGUAUCAUGAAAAAAAGUUUUCUGAAAACAUCUGUCUGGAAAGGAAACAUUCCUUAAUAUUCCUGAAUCCCAUUACUGAAACAUCUGUUAGGACAGAGAGCAUUGUGUCUACUGCUAUAGGGUAAUUAACUGAAUAUACUAAAUCUGUUCUACUUCUCUCAUUCUAGCCUUCAUUUUUGGACCCCCUUGCUAUUUACUUGACAUUCAAAGCUUUACUAUGGUUAUAAAGAGCAUGGCAAGCCACCAUCUCGGAAAACAUGCAUCGACCGGAAAACUUGUAAAUGAGCUGUGAGUUUCUCUUGGCAUUUUCAAGAUGUGCAGCAGAUGGCGCCAUUCCUCCCUUUGUUGCAGCAUUGAAAUAAGGUAUUGUUAGCAGAGUUUUUUCAAAGCAACACUACAGACUCUUCAAUCGUGCUUCCUAAGCUAGUGGAACAAUUGAAGUUACACUUUUGGAAUAAUACUUUGUUAACUAUUCUCGUUUGCUUUAUGGAACAUAAAAUCUGCACAAUCCUUCUGCAAAUGAAGGUGACUCUUGCAAUGGAACUAAAAUCUCCAUAAACUGAAUAUUGAUUUUGUGGAUUCAGUAGUGUUACCAGCACUUUUAUAGUAGUUAUAAUAAUGGUAGGAGACAACCACCACUUUUUAAAGGAACAGAGUCAGCUCUUUUACAAAUUCAUGCAUAGUGGAGAAGGUGCAGAAAUGCUAAGAUGAAACUACAGCCAUAACAUGCAUGCUCUUCCAUGAGAACACAGAUGAGGUGCAGUUUGUAAGCCCAGCCUAAGAAAUGCUUUUGGAAAGUGUGGGCUUGGGAUCUCCAAGGGUUUGGAAAAACCAAAAGUCUUCCUUCUGUUACGUUUCUCUGCUUAGGGCUCUAAGGAUCUACUCUUGUGUUCAGAAAAUGAUUAUACCCCAUUCCAACAUCAGCUUCUAGUGGUGGAUGAAGGUUGUGGCAAGCCCCCGUAUUCUGAGGAAGCCCAGAAAUGUCAUCUAGAAUAUCUGAGAUAUCUCGCUCUUGCGAUAAACCCUCAAUAAGAAGCUGUCUUGAAUUAUUUAUCUGAAUAAAUAACCUGGAUUUAAUUUUUUGUUCAAAAAAGGCUGUUGAUCAGAACUAGUUUUUUUGAUAAUGUAAGUGUAGAACUGUGAAGUAGGUAGAAGCAGUUGUCAAUCUGGUUUUAUUUUCAUUUCUUCACAGUCUGCUCCUUAGCCUUUUUCCCCCAGUUCAUUUUUACAUUCUCCCUCUUUUGGUCUCCAAGCUUACACCACUUUUCCCAGACAACCUCUUUCAUGAACCCAAAGAGGGGUGGGAAGAGAGGUAAACAAGAUCUCUCUCUCCAGCUGCAUGAAGAGAUGAGAACCUCCUUGGAUGCAGGCUAAAACAUGGCUGUUAUAGAACACCAACCAGAAUUGACUACAAGUAUUUUGCCAUUUUGAUUUUUGUUAACUGCUCAGAUUCUGUUCUUUGCUCAUGUACAUACAGUGGUGAUAAAAGCAUUUCAGCUAUAUUGUAUGCAAUCAUACACAGCUUUAGUAACUGCUCACUAAAUAAGAGGUUGUAAAUAUCAUUUAUAAACAUACAUCUGAAAAGCAAACAAUUGAGUGCCAGCAGUACGGUGAAAUAAAUCAUGCGCACAGCAAACACAAUACCUUUCUCCACUUACUGUCAAUGGCAAACCUAUGUGUGGCUUUUGGGAUUAUCCUCACUUUCCUUGUCAGGUCUUCUGCAAUCGUCUUCUUAAGUCUUUUGACCUAAAAAACAUCAGGAGAGCUAGUCUAGCAUCUGACACUGGAUUCCUAAAAGUUAUUACACACAGUCCUAGAUGGCAAUAGGAUUCCAAGCUCCAACCUUGCUGAAAGGUGUUGAAAGGUGCUGAAAGUUGGAGCUGGGACUUCAGACUCAGAAUGCCCACCCAGCCAGCACAGAAAGAACUGCUGUGGUUCAGCUCAAAGGUUGCAAUGUGGCCUUGUAGAUGAGCUCUUUGGGGUGUGAAGAAAAGCACAUGAAAUAUGUGGCAGGCUUUUCCUGGCUUCCCACCCACUCUGAGGCUGAACACUUAUCAUCAGUGUGAGAGUUUUGCAUAGCAGGAAGAGCACAGAAGAAAACUUUGCCUCCAGAUGCUUCGCACCAUGCAUAAGAUGCCUGUAAAACUCCAAGUUCAGAAGGACAAGGACAGUCUCCUUGGAUUGCACUCUUAGAAGAUCCUCACAAUUUUUAUAACAUAAUUUACAAAACUCCAAAAAUGCACAAAUAUAUAAUAGAUAACACACAUACAUAAUGUAUAUCUAGUUAAUAUUUCCCAGGAAAGAUAAAUAAGUAAAGAAGCAAGAACUACAGAAUAUCACCAUCCAUUAUAAUCUUUUUGAUCUUCAACAUCAAACUAAGUUACCGAUUAUUUAUUCAUAUUCAUUUGGUAAUUAAUUGUAAACUUGAAUAGGGUCUAAUAUUGUCAUUGCAAAAUAUGGUGAAUGUUGAUGGUGUCUGCAAAAUGAUUUUUCAGAUCUUGGCUAAUUCUUAUUUUUUAUUAAAAGUGGAAUAAUAAAUUGACACUUUAUAACUCUGUAAGUCGACAAAGGGAAAAUGUGAGGAUACUUGUUGAGUUUGAUCCUGCAAAUUAAUGUUUCAGCAAAGAAUGUAAAUCUCUCUAAAAGAGAAAUGAGAUAUUCGGGGAAAAUGAAAUAAAAACUACGAGGACAACAUUUGGAUUCACAGAUGCAAAGAGGCUGCCAUUCGGAGCUCACCAUGUUGUUUCCAAGACUUGGUUCUGCAAUUGUUAAAGAGAACCUUCUGUAACAAUAACUUUUCACACUGAGUUUGUUUUUUUUUAAGUAACCAACACAAUAUUUUCAUGUCAUUUAUAUUUAGCAAUGCAUUUAUAUUCAAACAUACAAAAGCAACACUGCUCUUUUCAACAAAACAGUAACGGUCAAAUAUUAACAACACAAUCUCAAGAAACAUGUCAAAAACAAUGUUGCAUUUAGUAACAUUAAUACAGCAGCCUAAAGUUGCAGAAAAGUUUUCUGAAACAGGUCGAUUCAUUCUCUUUUUCAAAGCCCUUUAAAGAUUUUUUUGAAAUUAAAAAAGUCAAACUGUUGAAAGUGAAUUCUGUAGCACAGUUUUCCCCACUAUGGUCCUAAUUUUUUAAUUUUACACUACAUACCGUAAGGAGGUUCAGUGGUAUGUCUUAGAGCAUGACUUCAUGUGGCAUUUCUUGGGGAAUUGGAUGAGUGUAUGCAAUCUUUGUAGUAGAGAUGAUACUAAGAAGCCGCCCAUGUCAGGAGAUUAGGGGAAGACUGGUUCUCGGAGAUCUCCACUACCCCAUCUCCACAGGAAGAUCUGUCUCUGAAGCAAAGGCCAAGCUACUAGCUAGUGCCCUAGAAUGUUGUUGUAUUAAAAUUCUCUUUUCUCCUGCUUUGAGAGGACAAGAUUUGUAUGUACACCUGGGCAAACAGAAUAUUCAUAAUAAUGCUACAUAUAAUGUGACUUCUUGAAAUGCCAAGGGACUGCACAAUUCAGUUAGACAGAAAAAGCAGUUUCUAAGCUAAAAGAACAUGGAUUUUGUUUGUGUGUUUUCUUUUUUUACUGCAAAUGCACCUGAUGGCAGCAAUUACAUAGCAAGUGAAAAGAGACUGGGUGGGAAAGGUUCAUGCAACAGGUAUGUUGAUCAGGUUUGUGGAGGUAGCAAUCUUAACCUAGUGAUGCUUUCUUCUUUGUUUGUUUUGGCAAUGCCGAAUGCCAUCUUCCUUUGGACGGAGGUAAUAAUUCAGAUAAACCUUAUGAUGGAAUGUUCUUUACCAUUUAAGGAGAUACAUGUUCUUUUGAAUUACCCAUCUAUUUCUGGGAAUUUAAUGCAAGGUAAAUGUAAAUGGAUUUUCCAUGUCCUUUUUAAAGCUAAUAAUCUAAUAUUAUUGGGAUAUAUGCCCAGCUGCAAUAACACAUGGGCUGGAGGCUUCAGUGAAAGUUCCAUUUUUAAAUUGGUGGGCUUUAAGGCAUAAUCUAUAAAUGGGUAAAUAUAUGACUAUUUGGGAUGCCUUAGUGAUGUAUAUGCUUAAACAUUUUUAAUACUGGUAUUAUUUUAAUGUGUGUGUGUGUUUAGAACUAGUGCUAUGAAUCUUUUUGGAUUUCAUUAACAAACUGUCAUGUUUUAGACCUGUUCUUUUUCCCUCCAUCUCUAAUUGUAUAGUUUGGGGUUUUUUGGACUGUACAACAAAAAAAAUUAAUAAAUUAGGAAAGGGGAAUUGCUGAGUUGCUUGGGAAAGCGAGUAUGUUGAGCAUGUGGGAGCAUGAGGAAUACUCAUUGCUACCAUGACUAAUUAAGAGUUAGACAACCAAUAGUUAGUCACCCACUAUUAGUUAUUAUGUGUACACUGGGUCAUUGGGUUUGUUUGUUUGCUUGCUUUGCACAUGCCGCUUUGUAAUCCGAGUGAAAUAGCAACACAGUUCUGUUCUGUAUUAACAGAAUUCCGAUAUGCACACAGCUAUCAGGGGAGUUUAAACAAAUGGUUAAGGACCUGAUUCCAGCUGCAUGUGUGUGGAUCCAUGACAGACUGUGUGGACUGGCCCUGGCUGCACCUACUUUGCUUUGGCCGCAUCCAUACUUUUACAGGGACUGGGACUCAACUCUCAGACUGAAAAAGCAUCUCUACCCUGCCUUAGUCACUAUUCUUUCCACCUACACUGCCCCAGUUUUUCCCUCUAUUGGAGAAAUUCUUCUGGGUUAGUGUUAGGUUGCCACGGUGUUAAAAUUAAUGCUCAUGGCUGAAAUCCAGUUGCAAGUAUUCCCUCCCCCACCCCCCUGCCCUCGCCCUGCAUAAGCUCAGAGAAAUGAUUUUGUAAUCUAGGAACAAACAGUGCUUGAUAGCAACCUUUAAAUUAUAUUAGCAACAUUCACACUGUAUUAGUAAACCCCCUCUCAUUAGAAAAUUGUAUUUUCUAGCAGUUGGUAAUAGGAUGCAGAAAUACUAAUAUGAUUAGGGAAUGACUUGAUAAUAGGAUUUUUUAUACUAGUAGAUUUUAUUCUGUGCCAGCCAAGAAGAUUUCCCUAAUAUAAUAUAAUAAAAAAGAAAAAAGAAGAAACCCCUCAGUCUUCCAUGUCAAAACUGGAGCUUACAAUCCAGAAGAAAGUUCAGGAAGCCUGCAAUUUACAAAAACUAAAGCUAUCCAUAAUUAUGGUGUCACCUUAUGUCCAUACCAAAGGUUUUGCCCUACAGAAGCCAACUAGAGAAGUGCUUCUGAAAACUUGCAGACAUGGGAAUCUUUCUUUGAUGCAGAGUUUGCUUUUGAAGAGCUAAAAAUUAAGGAACUGUACUCUCUUUUCAGCGAACCUGCUGUGGUUUGAGCUGAACAGUGUUUUUAGGACUCUGGUGCAUUGGGACAUGAGCAAAAAUACAAUCAGCAUGGCCUUCUCAACCCUUUUGGGCUGGAGCUUCCUAGCUGACUCAUACUAUUCUAUGUGCAUAAAGGUGGUGAUGGGCUAUUCCAAACAAAUGACUUUAUUAUUCUCUGCUUCUAGAAUCACAGAUUCUAAGAGAUGUACGUGUGCCUCAGUAGCUGAUGUUAGUGGGUGGCUCGAGUCUUCUCUGCAUAGAUAGUCAUUAUAUAUCUUAAGUCAUAUAAGGGUUUCAGAUGAUAGCUCAAACUUUAAAUCGUACUCAGAAAUGUUGACAGAACAAUGGAACAAUCUGCUCCACACACUAUUACUACUUUCCUUGCUUUCCCUAUCAGGUUGCAUUAAAAGAGUUGGAAUUCUACUUCUCUCCCCUGCAGUAUUCAUUCUGAAAAUGUAGAAAAAAGAGAGUUUAUGCUGCCCGACAGAGGUUGCCUAGUGCUACAAUUUAGAAGGCAACCUUUGUUCUUUCUUCACAGAUUUUUGUGGUAUGGAAAACAAUGAGAGAUAUUGUGGAGGUUUCCAGUAGGAGGCGAUGUCAUUGGAGUCCCACCCGCUAAAACCAUGUGAAGGAGGCAGGCUGCUGGUGCAACAAAAGUCUCUUGUAGAAGCACCUCCAGACCAGUCUAUAUGCAUUGCUUUCCCUUUCCUCCUCCUUCGUGACACCAAGUGUCUCUGUGCCAGUAUUGGCUCUCUCACUCCAUGUCAGGAGGAAGUGGAAGCUGAAUCCAAUUGAAACAACACCCCCAAAAGAUCUAGGACAUCCUUUGAACUGGAAAUGCCAGGAACUGGGACCUUCUGUCUGCAAAGUAUGUGUGCCACCUCUUAGCACCUGGGUUAUUCAAUGUGCUGGUUUUAACCUUUAAGGCCUUCAAUGGCCAAGUUACUUGAUGGGUUGCCUUCUUCCAUAUCCACCAGCUCACACUUUGAGGUCAUCAACAGAUACCAUUCACAGUUGUGGUCAUUCAGGCUGAUGAGUACAAGGGAGCAGGUCUUCUUACGUGCACUCUAGAAUCUGGUCCUAGCAGGCAUUCAUCAAGCUGCUUCUUUGUACAUCUCCAAGAAAAUUCUGAGGACUCAUUUGUUCUUUGCUUCCCUUAAUCUGUGGACUGUGGGUUUUCUUGGUGUAAUCUGCUUUUAUAAUGCCUUUUAUUAUCUUACAUAUAUUUGUCUGAUUGGAUAUGUCACUAUUUUUUAUCAUGUGUGCUGCCCUUAAAGAGAUGUUUUUCCCCUUAAAGACUGCCUAAAAAUAAGUAUAAAUAUGUAAAUUCCACCCUCCUUGUACUAGUUGGGGAAGGCAACCUUCCUUCAAAUUGUUGAGUGUUGCUCAGCUAGAGAGCAUUUCUUUGAACAUUUCACUUUUUCUUGAGACAGACCAUGAAGGAUUUAAUGCCUAAAUAUUGUGCAUAAAUAUAAUACAAUAAUAAUCAUGAUGUGGAGGAUGUAAAUUUUGCCUCAACUAGAAAAUGGCAUUAUUAUUAUUAUAUGUACCAUUAAUAUUAUUAAUACCCAUGCUUUAUGCAAUUAGAGUUUUAAUGGGCUAGUCUUACGAUGCAAUAAAGCAGGAGAACAAAGUUUAACUGGCUUAUGACUUCAUUAAAGAGCUAUAAUUGUAACUUUGCAAUCAGAAUAUGCAAAAUUUUGGACUGGUGAUGGUUUAGACAGAAAAAAAGCUAUUGGCAGUGUUUUGUCAUGAUUUUUGUGGUUUAUUCUCAAUAAACUGAUGCUUGUUAUGGGAA